rnacentral:rRNA from 1 species
UGGGGAAUAUUGCGCAAUGGGGGAAACCCUGACGCAGCAACGCCGCGUGAAGGAUGAAGGUUUUCGGAUCGUAAACUUCUUUGAUGAGGGACGAACAAAAUGACGGUACCUCAAAAACAAGCCACGGCUAACUACGUGCCAGCAGCCGCGGUAAUACGUAGGCAGCGAGCGUUGUUCGGAGUUACUGGGCGUAAAGAGUGCGUAGGCGGCGAGCCAAGUUUGGUGUGAAAUCUCCCGGCUUAACCGGGAGGGUGCGCCGAAAACUGGUUGGCUGGAGUAUGGGAGAGNAAAGCGGAAUUCCUGGUGUAGCGGUGAAAUGCGUAGAUAUCAGGAGGAACACCUGCGGUGUAGACAGCUUUCUGGACCAAAACUGACGCUGAGGCACGAAAGCGUGGGUAGCAAACA